AUUGAACGCUGGCGGCAUGCUUUACACAUGCAAGUCGAACGGUAACAGGCCGCAAGGUGCUGACGAGUGGCGAACGGGUGAGUAAUGCAUCGGAACGUGCCCAGUCGUGGGGGAUAACGCAGCGAAAGCUGCGCUAAUACCGCAUACGAUCUAAGGAUGAAAGCGGGGGACCGUAAGGCCUCGCGCGAUUGGAGCGGCCGAUGUCAGAUUAGGUAGUUGGUGGGGUAAAGGCUCACCAAGCCGACGAUCAGUAUCUGGUUUGAGAGGAUGAUCAGACACACUGGAACUGAGACACGGUCCAGACUCCUACGGGAGGCAGCAGUGGGGAAUUUUCCGCAAUGGGCGAAAGCCUGACGGAGC
rnacentral:rRNA from 1 species